UACGGAGGUUCCGAGCGUUAUCCGGAUUUAUUGGGCUUAAAGGGUGCGCAGGCGGAUUGGUAAGUCAGCUGUGAAAGUUUACGGCUCAACCGUGAAAUUGCAGUUGAUACUGUUGGACUUGAGUAUAGAUGAGGUGGGCGGAAUUUGUGGUGUAGCGGUGAAAUGCUUAGAUAUCAGGAGGAACUCCAAUGGCGAAGGCAGCUCACUGGGGUAUAACUGACGCUGAUGCUCGAAAGUGUGGGGAUCAAACAGG
rnacentral:rRNA from 1 species